rnacentral:pre_miRNA from 1 species
UCUGAGCUCUAGCUGCUGAUUGUCCAAACGCAAUUCUUGUAAAAUCUCAAAUGCAAACCCGAGAAUUGUGCCUGGACAUCUGUCGCUGGUCGCUCC